rnacentral:rRNA from 1 species
AGUGAACGUUGGCGGCGUGGAUUAGGCAUGCAAGUCGAGCGAGAACCGUAGCAAUACGGGGACAGCGGCGAAAGGGACAGUAAUGUGUAGGUACCUACCCCGAGGUCUGGGAUAGCUGCGGGAAACUGCAGGUAAUACCGGACAAUGUCUUCGGACGAAAGGUGUGAUUCCACCUUGGGAGGGGCAUGCAUCCUAUUAGCUUGUUGGCGGGGUAACGGCCCAACAAGGCGACGAUGGGUAGCGGGUGGGAGAGCACGAGCCGCGUAAUUGGGACUGAGAAUCUGCCCAGACACCUACGGGUGGCUGCAGUCGAGGAACUUCGGCAAUGGGCGCAAGGCUGACCGAGCGACGCCGCGUGCGGGAUGAAGGCCUUCGGGUUGUAAACCGCUGUCGUAGAGGAGGAAAUGCAGGGGGGUUCUCCCUUCUGUUUGACCUAUUCUAGGAGGAAGGACGGGCUAAGUUCGUGCCAGCAGCCGCGGUAA